rnacentral:lncRNA from 1 species
UUUCUCUCUAGAUGCCGCAGGGAACCAAGCGUUUUCAUCAGUUUUACAACGUAUUCUAGAGAAGCAGCCAUAGUGUAAAAAUAUUCUUUCUGAUAUGCUGCACAUUAUAGCAAAUGGCAUUAUUCAUGGAUGUGUCAAAGCCAUAAAAUAGGAGAUUUUGAGACGAUCACAGCUGUGAAUGAUUAAUAUUUUCAUCCCAAGAUGCCACAGAGGUACCAAGGCUAUGUUAAUUAUUACAUGCCUGAGCCUCGUACUGUGGGCUUCCUCCCCAAGUGCCUGUUAAUUUGCUCAUAUGCUGUGCAGCUGAUGGGACUAGAAAACUCUCCACUCAGAACACACAGUGGAUCUCUGGCAGUUCCUUAUGUCCCUAAUAACUGCUUUAUACUUCUGCGGAAGGAAAAAAAAAAUGAACAAUCUCCAAUCCAACAACAAUGAUGGGGUUUAAGCAGAAGAGAAACGUUAGUAGAGAAAUGUUUUAUCAAAGAUAACUUCAGGCUUUUCUUUGUGUUUGCAAUUUACUUAUCCAUUUAUUAAUAUACUUCUGAAUAUUUUGGAUGCUGUAUUGCAAUCACAAAUAUCUGUACUAUCAUCUUUCAAAUUUUUUUCAUUUUUACCAAAUUUUAAAUUUCUCUGAAUUAUUUCCCCAUUAAUAUUUAAAUGUAUUUUUACAUGUAUCAAUUGUUUUCUUUAAAACGUACCUGCCUCCCAGAUGUAAGGAAAGCAACUCUAUCUCUAGGAAUAUUUGUUUAAGCUUCAAUGUUGUGUGUCUUUAUUUUUGAGGAGUUUGAUUUCAUAUAUUCACCUUCUAAAACCGUUUUUUAAAACAUAGAUGGAUUUUUUUUUUAAAGCAAGGACCAAGAGCUGAGUCCUCAUCCUCAAGGUAAAUUUGUAAAUUUCUCUAAACCCUAGUGU